rnacentral:tRNA from 3 species
GCCCAAGUGGCGGAAUUGGCAGACGCGCUAGAUUCAGGGUCUAGUGGCCGCAAGGUCGUGGAGGUUCGAGUCCUCUCUUGGGCACCA